CUAGCGCCUGCUGGCAGGCAGAUCGGGAAGGCGGGGCCCGGCGGGCCAGGCUAGCGCUACAUCUCCCCGCCCCCGACUGGGCCCGGCGCCCAGGACUGGCCUCCAAGAGUGCAUACCGGCAACAGCCUGACUGGAGAAGGGCUGCGGGGAGAGGAACGCCACCCCUAGCGUCCAGAGUGCUACAGCACUUGAAUCAUGAACACAAACUACUCAGCCUCCUCUCCCGGCGGCACCGGGACCGGGACCGGCACCGGCACCGCCACUGGCACCGGGACCGGCACCGGCACUGGCAUCGGCACCGGGAGCUGGCGCGAGGCGGAGGGCGCAACUGCCCAGGUCCCGAACUCGGCCUCCAGCUUUGACUACACCUCGUACAACCCGUCUGAUUGGCGGACCGUCUCCAGUCCUCCAGGUAGUUCCCAGAGGAGCAUGUCCUCAACGGCCGAGGCCCCCUCCUGGAGCACCAGCAUACCCUCUCAGAUCAACACCACAAGUAACCUUAGUACUGACUCCGACUCCAAGAGUAGCUUGGCAGGUUUCAGCGCUUACAUCUUGGAGAGGCGGAUCCCGGAGUCUACCCUCCGCUACAACUCCUCCGAUGGGGCCGCCACAACCUCCAACCACAACGACGGCAUUCCCCGGGUAUCAGUAACAAGACCUACCCCGUCCGUAGACUGGUCGUUAGAGUCACUACAAGGCUCGGCCUUUUCAUCUAUGUUCAGCAACCCCCGGGAUUCGGUGGAAGGGCCGGCCCUGCCCUCGGGUUACGCCCUGACCUCAGUGCCCGGCUACCCCUGGAUAUUUGUAGAGGGACCUCCCAGACCCAGCGACCUCUCACUACUGUCAGUUCAAACACCUUCUACACACAGUAACACCACCCUAGUGUCAGUACAGGAAUCUGCUACAUCCACAGCGCCCAGCUUCCCCUGGGUUUUGGUACCAGGACCGCCUCUACCCAAUAGCAUUUCCCAAGUAACGCCACGAGCACCUCCUGCACCCCUUAACACCUCCCGAGUAUCAAGCCUGGCGUCUCCACCACCCUCGGUGCCCGGCACUCCGCAGGUCUCAAUACAAGAUCCUCCUGGCUCCAACAAUCCUUUCCAACUGCCGACCCAAGGAUCUUCUAAACCUAAUAACUCUCGCCUAACAUCAGUACAAGGGUCCGCCCCGCUCAGAGUGCCCAGCUCCCGCCGGGCAUCAGCUGAAAAAUCAGCUCCGCCCCUGGGCGCUCUCGGAGUAUCAGCAAAAGCGUUCGCCCCGCCCUCAGUGCCCGGCUACCCCCGGAUAUCAAAAGAAGGAUCGGCUCCGCCCCCGGACUCCCGGGGGGAGUUGGUAGAAGGGUCCUUUCCGCCCUUUGCGGUCCCCACUCCUGUGCCUACGACCCAGGACAGUAUCAACAGAAGCAUGACUAGCCAAGAGAAGGCGAGUAUAGCGGGCCACAUGUUCGACGUGGUCGUGAUCGGAGGUGGCAUUUCAGGUCUUUCUGCUGCCAAACUCUUAAAUGAAUAUGGAGUUAACGUUUUGGUUUUAGAAGCUCGGGACAGGGUUGGUGGAAGAACACAUACUGUGAGGAACAAACAUGUUGAUUAUGUGGAUGUAGGUGGAGCCUACGUGGGACCAACUCAAAACAGAAUAUUACGCUUGGCUAAGGAGCUUGGCAUAGAGACUUAUAAAGUGAAUGUCUGUGAGCGUCUCGUUCAAUAUGUCAAGGGGAAAACCUAUCCAUUUCGGGGGGCCUUUCCACCAGUAUGGAACCCUAUUGCAUAUUUGGACUAUAACAACUUGUGGCGAACUAUGGAUAACAUGGGAAAGGAGAUUCCAGCUGAGGCUCCCUGGGAGGCCCCACAUGCUAACGAAUGGGACAAAAUGACUAUGAAAGAGCUCAUUGAUAAAAUCUGCUGGACAGCGACUGCUAGGCGUUUUGCUUCUCUUUUUGUGAAUAUCAAUGUAACCUCUGAGCCUCAUGAGGUAUCAGUUCUAUGGUUUUUAUGGUAUGUGAAGCAGUGCGGGGGCACCACUCGGAUAUUCUCUGUCACCAAUGGCGGCCAGGAACGGAAGUUUGUAGGUGGAUCUGGUCAAGUGAGCGAACGGAUAAUGGACCGCCUCGGGCACCGAGUGAAGCUAAACCAUCCUGUCACUCAUGUUGACCAAUCAAGUGACAAUGUCAUCAUAGAGACAUUGAACCACGAACAUUAUGAGUGCAAAUACGUAAUUAGUGCGAUCCCCCCGACUUUGACCGCCAAAAUUCACUUCAGACCAGAGCUUCCACCAGAGAGGAACCAGUUAAUUCAGCGUCUUCCAAUGGGAGCUGUCAUUAAGUGCAUGAUGUAUUACAGGGAGGCUUUCUGGAAGAAGAAGGAUUAUUGUGGUUGUAUGAUCAUUGAGGAUGAACAGGCUCCAAUUUCAAUAACCUUGGAUGACACCAAGCCAGACGGCUCACUGCCUGCCAUCAUGGGCUUCAUUCUUGCCCGGAAAGCCGAUCGACUUGCUAAGCUUCAUAAAGAAGAAAGGAAGAAGAAAAUCUGUGAGCUCUAUGCGAAAGUGCUAGGAUCCCAGAAGCUUUAGAUCCAGUGCAUUAUGAAGAGAAGAACUGGUGUGAGGAGCAGUACUCUGGGGGCUGCUACACGGCCUAUUUUCCGCCUGGGAUCAUGACUCAGUAUGGAAGGGUGAUUCGUCAACCCGUGGAUAAGAUUUUUUUUGCUGGCACGGAGACUGCCACACAGUGGAGCGGCUACAUGGAAGGGGCAGUUGAGGCUGGAGAACGAGCAGCCAGGGAGGUUUUGCAUGCACUUGGGAAGGUGGCCAAGAAAGACAUCUGGGUACAAGAACCUGAAUCAAAGGAUGUUCCAGCAGUAGAAAUCACCCACACCUUUUGGGAGAGAAACCUGCCAUCUGUUCCUGGCCUCAUGAAAAUCAUUGGAUUUACCUCAUCAGUAACUGCCUUAGGGUUUACUAUGUACAAAUACAAGCUACUGCCACGGUUUUGAAGUUUCAUGCAUAUACCUGCUCACCAGUUUUCAAUACCACUCAAUGGUGGUAUUGAAAAUAGUGACAAAUUUAAAGGCUGUGUCAUUGGGCCGUUUUUAAGUGCACUCUAACUAUCUUCGGCUUAGUUCCAAUCAUUGUUAAACAACUCAAAGAAUCACCUAAUUAAUUUCAGUAAGAUCAAGCUCCAUCUUAUAUGUUUGUGUAAACCAACUCAUGUUAAUUGAUAGAAUAAGCCUUGUGAUCACUUAAAUUCAAAAAGUUAAAGGUGAUUUGCUCAUCGGAAACAAUUUCUGUGUCCUGUUUUUAUUCUCUUCAAUGCAAAAUGCCUGAUGAUUUCAGAAACAAAGCAUUUGACUUUCUCUCUGUAGGGGUGGAGUAGGUGAAGGCCCAGCCUGUGACUGUCCUUUUCCUUCCCUUAGGCUAUGGUGAAGUGUCAUUACAGAGCCUAGAGGCUCACAGCCUCCUGGAGAAAGCAGCCUCCACUUUGGAUCAGGAAAUAGUAAAGGAAAGCAGUGUUGGGGGUAGCGGCAUGCAGAUCCUCAGACCAGAAUAGGGACAUCUUUGUGGGCUGCUGCCUCAGGGAUCUCCUGACCACUUCUAAUUCCUCUGACUUUUCUAGACAUCUAGUCUCAGUGCUCACUUAUUUGUAUGCUUUUCCUCUUUAACUUCUUAUGGAGGAGAGUAUUAACUGAGGGAGAAUGUUGAAACUGACUUGCUGUGACUUACAUGCAGCUUUCCCCGUUGAGUAGAGGCAAAUAGCGGCAGGACUGUCCCCCGGACAUCUCCACACUUAGCUCUGUGAGACCAACUGCAAUUGGCAUCUUCUCUUCCGGCUGGAAGGCAGCUAGACACCAAGUAAUCCUUGCCAGUCAUAACAUUCUAUUUCAACUCCAGGAAAGCAGCAGUUUUCUUUUCUUCAGGUGCCCCCUGGCUGGCUGAAGGCCUCUAGGGACAUAUGUUUUUUUUUCUUUUUUUCUGCAUCCGUAGAAUUAGACACACCUCUCAGCUUACACAUGUCUUCAACAUGGUUACCUCUGCAUAAAUAUUAGCAUAGCAUGCCAAUUUCUUUUAAAUAAGUUCUGAAAUACACAUGAUAAAUUUGACUGUUAUUUGUUGAGACUGUCAAAUGGAAAAGAAAUUAGGGCUCUAAUUUUCUUAAAGAAAGCUCACUUGCUUUAGUUGUUAAGUUUUAUAAAAGACAUUUAAUUGAGUCAUUUUAUACGUGAAGACUAAGUUCUCUAUCUUAGGAGUAAUGUCAGCCCAGAAGGGUACCCACCUCUUGUUUUCCCAUAUUAAAAACUCCGAUUUUUAAAAGCCCUUUCCCAAGGUUUUAACCAUAAAAUACUUCCUUUUAAAAGGUAUCAAUGUAUAUUUAUUUAAGGGAAAUUAACAAUUGCCAGGGGUAUCCAGCCAACCCAAGUUUAUUAUAUCAUUUAACCUUAUGAAUUCAAACCUAAGUUGCUGGACCCUGGUGUGAGCACAUAAAUCUUCCAAGUUUUGCCUAUCCCAAGAGCUGGCUGGAGUUUUCUGCUGCCCUUUACCUUGAAUUUCAGGUAAUUUAGGAGUUUUGAGAAUGUAUUGGAUGUGCUCCAGUACAUAAGGAGUUGCCACAUAUUCUAUCAAACUGCUUUGAGAAAUCUUUUCCCUAAUAUAUUACAGUUGUUUCUAUUAAUUUACUGAUUAACUCAGUCCUGACACACCUUUCGGGAAAUGCUGAUUGAAACUCCUUAACUGGCAACAGUUUGAACAGUACUCAGCUUGCUAACAUAUUUAAGGUCUUCAGUGCUGAAGAACUCAUAAGUAUGUGAUUUACCCUUUUCAACUUUUUGGAAAACCAUUUGAUUUAUUCUAAUUAGAUUAACCCUAUUAAUCUACGGAUUGGGUAUCAAAAUGAAUUCCAGUCCAGAUAUGCCCAGACAAGAAAUUGGAGCUGAGAACUCUCACCAUAUGUGAGUUCAUCCAACAUGAAGAUACCAUAAGCCUUGUCUCUGAACCAGAGAUGUGAAAGUCACUUUUAGAGGCUGAUAGAUCUUGGCCCUGCUAACGCAUCUACUUCACAGUUUUGAAGGCUGAGUUGGCCCCACUCCAUAGUUAGGCCAAGAAUUAGAUUUUAAAACUUUAUCUGUCUGUCACAGUUAACUGUUAAAUAAGACCUCAUAUUCCACUGAAGAGUAUGGAUUGAAGGAUUGUGAACAAUGUUUAGUCUGAUUGUGAACUUGAUGCCUAAUGUUCCAUGUCCGAAGCUUGCCCCAGUGCUACAUGUUGGGGUAUACCUGUGUGUGUGUGCUUUGCCACUGAAGUAAGAUUUUGCCUGUAUGGCUCUGUUUUGUUUGUUAAUAAAGUGUAAUACCAUCCCCAA